AGCCAGUAUACAUGGGAAGCCAGUCCCUGCGUGUACCAGCUCCCAUGGAGCCACCUGCCCCUCUGCAUGUAAAUGUGUAACUGGGAAAAAAAAUUCAGCAGUUACAUGUUUAAAAAAAAUAAACGUUAACAUCCUUAUAAGUCACCCAGUUGAUGAUUCAUAUCUAUUUAGUAAGACUGUUGACUAAACACCGUUAAUUCAAGUUCUCAAAGAAUUGUGUGGAUAUUUGUGGUUAAUUUUUGCCAAUACACAUGCAGAUUUUAUAUCCCGGCAAAGCUUUAUAAUACAUAGAUUUCAAUUACAGCACAGAAUACAAAAUGUAUUUCAAAUAUUUGUGAUGUAAAAUGAUAAAGAAAUAUACAAGUUUUAGUGCAAUCUGAGUUGUGAAAGUAUAACUUAAUGACUGUUGCUUUUUUGGUUACAUAACUGCACUUAAAGUGUAAAACUUUAGAACCUACAAGUCCUCUUCUAUUUCUUGUUCAACCAGUUGCUAAGACAAAGAAGUUUGUUUACAUUUAUGGGAGAUACUGAUACCUUCUUAUUUACAAUAUCACCUGAAUGUGAAAACAGGUGUUUGCAUGGUUCUUUUGUAGCUGGCAUUGGAAUAUGUAUGCCAGAUGUACUGAAUGUUCUUAUGCUUCUUCAUUCUCUGGCCACCAUUCCAGAGGACAUGCUUCUAUGCUGAUGGAUGCUUGUUUAAAAAAAAGUGUUUAUUAGAUUUGUGACUGAAAUGUGUAGGAGAAUUAUAUAGUGGAAUGUGUAAAACACGAGACAUAUUUCAUGUUCUAGAAUUCUCAGAUGACCCAGAAACAUUCAUUUUAAGAACAGUUUCACAGCUGAUUUGACAAAGUGCAAAGAAAGUAAAGAGAUUUAUAAAAAAUAGCUACUGCACUCGACCCAAGGUUAAAGAAUCUGAAGUACAGUCCAAAAUCUAAGAGGGAUGAGGUGUGGAUCAUGCUUUCAGAAGUAGCAUCAGAGUGUCGCUAAAAUUCUGCUGAUGGCAUCUGACUCAUAUGAUGAAAAUGAACAUGCAUCGAUCUGCUGUGCUUUGGAUAGUUAUCAAACAGAACCCAUCAUCAGUAUGGAGAUGUGCUCUGGAGUAGUGGUUGAAACAUGAAGGGACAGAUGAAUAUUUAGUGAAUCUGGCACGUAAAUUUCUUGUGAUUCUAGCUACAGUAGUGCCAUAUGAAUCUGUUCUCACUUUCAGUUGACGUAGACAAGUGGGCAGCAUUAUUUCCUGCAAAUGUAAACAAACUUAUUUGUCUGAGCAGUUGACUGAACAAGUAGUAGAACUGAGUGGACUUGUAGGUAGAGAGGCCUGCAAAUCUGCAGUUAUCCCGUCUACAUCCACAGGUAUCUGCAUCUGUGGAAGUGUGUGCGGAUAGUUGCAGCUCUUUUUGCAGAUAUGGAUGUGGCUGCAGAUACAAAUUUUGUAUCCACUCAGGGCUAUACUUCUAGGCUCUAAAAUUGUUUUAUUUUUGAAUGCAGUUUUUUGUACAUAAGUCUACAUUUGUAAGUUCAGCUUUCAUGAUAGUGUAGUACAGUACUUGUAUUAGAUGUAUUGAAAACAUUGUUUCUUUUGUUUAUAUUUAAUAAAAUAUAUAGUGAGCAUUGCAUGCUUUGUAUUCUGUGUUAACAAAUAUUUGAACACAUAGGAAACAUACAAAAUAUUUAAAUAAAUGUUAUUCUGUUAUUGUUUAACAGUGCUAUUAACUGCACAAUUAAUUGUGAUUUAAUCACUGGACACCCUAUAAUGUAGCUGUCAGAAUAAAGACCAGUUACAGAUAAGUAGAUUUUGAAUUCAGCAUUGUACUGUUCAAACUGAGAUGAAUCACUAGUCACACUACCUAAUAUUGCAGUGGUUUAAGAACUAUGAAAAUGACUGUGUUAAAUCUCCGUUCUUUUUCUGACCGUACACUACAUAAAGAGCUACAAUACAGUUUUUGGCUUUAUAGAAAUCAAACUGAUUCAUCAACAUAUCAUUCUGUCAAUCUUGACGAGCUUCAAAAAGAGUUCUGUUCAGCACUCUGUUAGCAGGGUCUGUUUCAGGAGUCCAUGUACAUUCCAAACAAGACUUUCAUGAAAGCAAACAGGUGACUCCAAAGCCAAAUCUCAGGAGGCAGGGUUGGAGCCUUACAGAGAGACGGACUGCAAUACAGCCCUACCUACAGCGGUGUCCUCCCUGGCUUGCUGCACUAUGGAGGUGAUCCAGGAUGAAAUACUCUGGGCUGACACAGGACGAUGUGUAUAGCAGAUAAAGAUUUGUGGAUUGGACCUCAGAAUUUGACAGCAACUGUCAACAUUUAGAUGAAGAAACAUUUGGGAGAAGCCCAGUGUUUCCUUGACAACUGAUGAGAGCACAACUGCGUGAAACCCAGGAAGAUUCACUUUUACAGUCAUAUUUAUUGAAACAUAACCCCAGUGCAAGAACAACUUUCACUGACUUGCAAGAUACCAUAUUUAAGGAUAAACAGGCAUUAAUGUGUAAAAGGAUACCUGAGGUGCUCAAUGAUUUCAAUGCCUUGCCACUUUUGGAAUUUUAUGGAGGGGGAAUCAGUGGUAAUUUGGAGAGAAUCAUCAGUGUGAGAAGAAAGGAAGAGCAGAACCUGGUUGAAUAAAUCACUACUCUUCUGAUUUGUUUUAUUAAUUGGUAGUCUUCCCUACCAAAAUAUUGUACAAAAUUGAUCAAAUAUAUCCUAACACUAUACAAAUAAACUGGUCAAAAAUAGACACUUAGUUGCAUUGUUUAAAUGAUUCUAGAUCUACAAAAGAAACAUUAAUAUAUACUUAUAGUCUCUUUCUGACAAGCAAUGAUUCUACAUAUGUUUUCUAUAUUCAGCUUAUUGCUGCCUAUAUGGGAAUAAUUUAUCCAGAGAGUGUUUAUUGCUGCUGCUUUAUCAGAAUAAAAAAAGUAAAUGAGCUUUGAUUCCCUUUCCUGCCUCCAGAAUGACCUUCCAUGGCACCGUUUUGCAGAGAGCCUGCAGAACAAACUGAGCUGAAGGAAACCAUAACUGACGUGGAAAUUUUCUGCUCCUUGGUUCCCUACUGUGCACAGGUUGUCUGGCUGUAUAUAAUAUUCUGCUAGAAUUUAAUCCAGUGUAUUUUACUCAAUCAGUCUCUCUCUCAUUUUAUAUUCCACUCCCAGAGUAGAAGCAUGCUGUUGUGACCUCAUUACCAGACACUCAAGGAGUAGUUGGCAGUUGUAACAUAUGGUAACCUUAAAAAUCAUAGUGGCGGGAAUGGAAAGAGGGGUGUUCUUUAGAGGUUUAUAAUGUACCAAGGGAGAACAGCUGUGGUCUAAGGGCUUAAUUUAAGGGCCAGGAAUGAGAGGCCUGUGUUUUAUUCCUGAUUCUGCUGUGUGACUGUGGAUAAAGCUGUCUUGGCCAAAUUACGGUUGUGCAACAAGGAGAGAAAACAAAGAGAAUCUCUUCUAUGCCAAAAUAUUCCCACACAGAAGACAACUAUCGUUUGGCAGGAUGAGAUUUGACAGCGGGAGGGAGGUUAGUUAGUACCACAACAAUAUGCAUCAUUCAAGAGAAAGUUGUUCAGGGAGUUAGGGGUGUAGCUAGGGCCUUACACAUUGACCAACUUUAAGGCUGUACUGUGGGAACUACAGUACACAUGCCUUCCUAUGGGUAUCACAGGGGCCCUCACUGACAAUAUUAGACUACUACAAAUAUGCCUGCUCCUAACUUGAAUAAGCAUAAUGUCGCCAAGGGCCUCCGCUUGAGCACUGCACUUUCCUAGUGUGAUUCAGUGAUUAAGCUAUGAUUUUGGCAUGGCAAUUUUUAAUACAUUUGAUGACAGAGGAAUAGUCAUGGAAAGCUCAGCAAAUGAUGUACUUUUCGCUACAUCAGUAUACACAUACUAUAGUGAGGGUUCUGAAAGGUGAGACCUGGCAGGGUGUUGGUGUUGGAAAGCAAGAUUGCUCCACAGCUGCAGCUCCUGUCCCAUUGGACUGGCAUGGGAUGAACUUCCCCCCUCCAGGCACUGUAACCAUGAUGCAUAGGGUUGCAGCACCACUUAAGUGUGGCCCAUCCAUUCAUCUGGGUAAACAAGUGACUCUUAAGUGACACUGACUCUGUAUCCUGUCACACCACCACUUCAUUUGGAGGCCUAAUCAAAUGUAUUUUAUAUCCAUUACCAAGAUUUCACAGACUAUUAAAAGUCACAAUUUUCAUGAUAGAAUCAUAUCUCUAAUUGUAACAGAGCUUGUGUUCUCUCUGUGCUUCAGCUGCUUGUAAAUCAGGCAUAAUGAUAAUGAUUUUACCCAUCUUUGUAAAGCACUUGGAGAUUUACAAAUCAAAAGUCCUAUAUAAAGGCAAAUAUUAUUAUCAUGUAGUGUACAACUGGGGAUUAGUAUGCAGCAUGUGGCAUUAUUAAUUGAGUGCUAGAUGCCUAUCAGAACAGAUGAAAAAAUCCUUGCUAGAAGAGAGCUGACAUAUUUCACACGGGAUAGAAUGAGGACGGUAGUCGGUUAAUAUUGUGGGAUGCAAACAAAGGAGUGGGGCAACAUGAAUUAGAUCACAGAGUUAUUCGUCAAACAUUAGUUCACAGCAUGACGGAACAAUGUUUUACAACAAAAUAGAUGAAUGAAGAAGUAGAAGACUUAAUUGACACAUUUCUUAUAUGCAGCGUUGUUGCAGCCAUGUUGAUCUCAGGAUAUUAGAGACAAGGUGGGUGAGGUAAUUUUUUUUUGAUCAAUUUCUGUUAAGAGAGACAUGGUUUCAAGCUACACUGCUUCCUGUCUGGAAAAUGUACUCAAAGUGUCACAGCUCAAUACAGCAUGGAACAGAUUGUUUACCAUAAGUUAACAUAUAUGUCAAGGGAUCAUAUUUCUUAUAGAUACCACGAAAGAAGUUUCUUCAAAAAGUGUCAUUCCUUGAGGCAAACCUGGGUCAUAUUUCUGAGGGCAGCAAAUCAGACUGUUGGGGAAGUACACCAGUUAUCUUUAAAUCCUAAAUUGCCUCUGUGUCUGUGGCAGUAUGGAUCUAGCCAUUAAACUGCAAGAGGAGAAGUCUAGUGUUUCCCUGACAACUAAGAAAAAAACACUGCAUGAAAGCAAAGUGUAAAAGUUAAAAAUGUAGCUCAGCUGUCUGGUGAGAGGUGGAAACUAUAGAUUGGCAGACUUAGGGUGGCUUUCAUCAAAAAGUUUGUGUCUUUAGGAGAGGAGAGACUAUAAAUCCUUGGUUCUUGCAUAUGGGACACAGCAAGCAGUAAAUGCACUUUUCUAUGCAAGGUCCAGUAAAACCUUGCCCUUUAAUAAGUUUCAGUUAUAUAUUUUAAUGUUAAAAAAACAUACCAAAAAAACCCAACUAAAAUUAGAUUAAAUUAAAACCCUGGCUGCAACACUGUGAUUUUUAAAAUUCUGAAUCUGGACUUUUUAGUUUGGGUCCACCUCUAUUAAAAAUGGUUGAAAUAACAGUAUUUUGUAUGUAUUGAAUCUUUGUGGUUUUUUAACACAAGAAAAAAACUUCUCAGUAGUAGAAAAAGUGAAAUAAGAAUUUAGGGAAGGUUUUAAGAUCAAGCUGCUAGGGCCAAGUGACAGCAGCUCAAAAAGCUGUAACACAAUGUUCUGCUUUGAGCAGAAGGUUGGACUAGGUGACUUCCUUAGGUCUCUUCCAACCCUAAUCCUCUAUGAUUCUAUACACGUGCAACCCUUUGGUCUAUAAAUUACUCCAAGAUGAAGGAAUAAGGAAAGUAGUAGUGAUUUACAUACAUGCUAAAAACAAUCAGAAGGAUUUAGUGACUGGGAGUUGUAAGACAGUUAGUUAUCAUGGCAGUGAACUUGUGCAUAUGAAAAGUAGGGAUAUGAAAGUUUGAAAGUGUAAAUGGUUAACUGAUAAGUCUGGGCUUAUCAGUCAAUGUUUUGGUUACACACAGAUCCCACCCUACUCCUGGGGAGCCGACUACCACCCUGUGCUGCAGCCUCUGUAUCAGAGGCAGCAUCUUGGGGGUGGCAGCCGGCUUCCUAGAAGCAGGGCUGCAGAUGGCAGCUGGUAUGUGUUGGGAGUCAACUUAAAAACUGGCUCCUGGCGCACAUUGGCUCCUGGGGAGCCAACUACCACUCUGCAGCUGCGGCCUCUG